rnacentral:snoRNA from 1 species
AACACUUGUGUUUUUGUUGAACCGGUGAACAAACACAUAAAGACAGGUAAAAGGUAAAAAGAAAUCCAGUUUUGCAACCCAAAACUCCUGGUUUAGCAUGAGUUUUUAAACAAGAGGAAUAUG